rnacentral:rRNA from 1 species
GCAGUCGAGGGGUAAUUCUGCUUUCGGGCGGAAACGACCGGCGCACGGGUGCGUAACGCGUAUGCAACCUACCCACAACUGGGGGAUAGCCCGGAGAAAUUCGGAUUAAUACCUCAUAAUGCAGGGGUACUGCAUGGUACUAUUUGCUAAAGAUUUAUCGGUUGUGGAUGGGCAUGCGUCUGAUUAGUUAGUUGGUGAGGUAACGGCUCACCAAGGCGAUGAUCAGUAGGGGGUCUGAGAGGAUGAUCCCCCACACUGGUACUGAGAUACGGACCAGACUCCUACGGGAGGCAGCAGUAGGGAAUAUUGGUCAAUGGGCGGAAGCCUGAACCAGCCAUGCCGCGUGCAGGAUGACGGCCUUCUGGGUUGUAAACUGCUUUUAUACAGGAAGAAAAGGGUCAUGCGUGACACAUUGACGGUACUGUAUGAAUAAGCACCGGCUAACUCCGUGCCAGCAGCCGCGGUAAUACGGAGGGUGCAAGCGUUGUCCGGAUUUAUUGGGUUUAAAGGGUGCGUAGGCGGGUUAUUAAGUCAGUGGUGAAAGUUUACGGCUCAACCGUAAAAGUGCCAUUGAUACUGGUAGUCUUGAGUACAGUAGAGGUAGGCGGAAUUUAUGGUGUAGCGGUGAAAUGCAUAGAUACCAUAAAGAACACCGAUAGCGAAGGCAGCUUACUAUGCUGUAACUGACGCUGAGGCACGAAAGCGUGGGGAGCGAACAGGAUUAGAUACCCUGGUAGUCCACGCUGUAAACGAUGAA